UCCAAAAUGUUAUCCAACUCUAAUAGAUAUGAAGAUACACCAUGUUAAGACUUGUGAAAUUUUGAUGAUUGUCAAGAGGUCAUGGAACAAGUAAGCAUAGCUAGUUCAUGAAAAAUUGAUCCAAAAGAGUUCAACUUGCAAGAAGACUUUUUGUGAAAAAAUUCAUAUGAUCAAAAAUAAACGAAAGAAAGUUUGUUACUUCAAAUAAACAUUAGG
rnacentral:lncRNA from 1 species